UACGUAGGGUGCAAGCGUUAAUCGGAAUUACUGGGCGUAAAGCGUGCGCAGGCGGUGAUGUAAGACAGAUGUGAAAUCCCCGGGCUCAACCCUGGGAACUGCAGUUUGUGACUGCAUCGCUGGAGUGCGGCAGAGGGGGGAUGGAAAUUCCGCGUGUAGCAGUGAAAUGCGUAGAUAUGCGGAGGAACACCGGAUGGCGAAGGCAAUCCCCUGGGGCCUGCACUGACGCUCAUGCAUGAAAGCGUGGGGAGCAAAC
rnacentral:rRNA from 1 species